AGCGAGUGGCGAACGGGUGAGUAACGCGUGAGGAACCUGCCUCAAAGAGGGGGACAACAGUUGGAAACGACUGCUAAUACCGCAUAAGCCCACGACCCGGCAUCGGGUAGAGGGAAAAGGAGCAAUCCGCUUUGAGAUGGCCUCGCGUCCGAUUAGCUAGUUGGUGAGGUAACGGCCCACCAAGGCGACGAUCGGUAGCCGGACUGAGAGGUUGAACGGCCACAUUGGGACUGAGACACGGCCCAGACUCCUACGGGAGGCAGCAGUGGGGAAUAUUGCACAAUGGGGGAAACCCUGAUGCAGCGACGCCGCGUGGAGGAAGAAGGUCUUCGGAUUGUAAACUCCUGUUGUUGAGGAAGAUAAUGACGGUACUCAACAAGGAAGUGACGGCUAACUACGUGCCAGCAGCCGCGGUAAAACGUAGGUCACAAGCGUUGUCCGGAAUUACUGGGUGUAAAGGGAGCGCAGGCGGGAAGGCAAGUUGGAAGUGAAAUCCAUGGGCUCAACCCAUGAACUGCUUUCAAAACUGUUUUUCUUGAGUAGUGCAGAGGUAGGCGGAAUUCCCGGUGUAGCGGUGGAAUGCGUAGAUAUCGGGAGGAACACCAGUGGCGAAGGCGGCCUACUGGGCACCAACUGACGCUGAGGCUCGAAAGUGUGGGUAGCAAACAGGAUUAGAUACCCUGGUAGUCCACACUGUAAACGAUGAUUACUAGGUGUUGGAGGAUUGACCCCUUCAGUGCCGCAGUUAACACAAUAAGUAAUCCACCUGGGGAGUACGACCGCAAGGUUGAAACUCAAAGGAAUUGACGGGGGCCCGCACAAGCAGUGGAGUAUGUGGUUUAAUUCGACGCAACGCGAAGAACCUUACCAAGUCUUGACAUCCUGCGACG
rnacentral:rRNA from 1 species